GCCCGCCUUAAUGAGUUUAAUCGACUGGACUUGAUGAUUUUAUUUGAAACCUAGGGCCGCAAAUUAAGCUCUUAAAAAUGUACUUGAACUUGAUUGGCAACUGUAAUCCCAACAAAGUCAGUUUAAUCCCUGGGCUGCUUGGGCAAGAAAAGUCUGCGUGGUGCUCUGGGCUCCAAAGCACCCACGGGAGCCCCUCCUUCCUUGGUGCAACUGGCUGCCCUUGGCCUCAGCCCUAAUUUACCCUAUUGGCCACGUGGUGAAUGACCCUGAACCCUUCAUCAGUUCCUCUUACAGCUCCAAAUGCCAAAUGCCGUAGCUCUGUCUGCAGUCCCCUUCUCACCCACUGUGCCCUCCAGGGCAGAGGCCACUCUUGAAAUCUGCUGACUAGGCAUUGAGAUGGCCAGUUUGACCGCACUGCCCCACACGUGAGCUCUGUGGCCUCAUGCCCAUCUGGGGUGGUGGACAGAAAAACUGGCUUCAGGAUCUCCCUCACUUAUACCCACAAGGUUCCUGGAAAGUUCUGCCUACCUAGGACCCUUCCUCCCAGCCGGCCUUUCCUCACACAGCUUCUGCACACGAUGCUAAUGGAAGACAGAAGGUGGGAAAUUAAGGGGCCUGAGGAAUGGAAGAAGUCCCUCAUCCUGGGGCCCAGGUUGCCUUCCUGCUGACUGAGCACUCGGAAGCUUCAACAGAACCGAUAAAAUCAAAUUGCCCACAGAGAUAAUGCCUGCUUUCCUCAGAGACAACUCUCACAAGGCUGUGGAAAACAGUACGUUCUGCUUGUAUGGGGACAGAAAGUCUGUCACCUGGAGUUUGACGCUGAGUGUUUCUCUCAUCUAAAGCAAAACGGGGCUCUCUGGUAAUUUUACUCCUUCAGGAAAGAGAAAAGUGAGCCAGUGCCUAUCUCUAUGCUUAGAUUUAAACACUGUUAAUCUUUAAGCCUUACUGUAAAGCACACCCUUUGGGUGAGUGACUUGGUAAACCCCAGGAUCAAAUGAAACCAUUCUAAAUUCUCCUAAGAGUGCCUUACAGCCUUGCUUGGGUGUAGCCUGUCUUUUUCCCAUGUGUCCCUCCAAACACUGCUCUGCUGCCUGAAGUGUGUCCUCUUGUCAUCUUCUUUUCUGCUUAGAAACUCACCAACUCUCUUCACUCUGGCUUAUCUCCAAAUUACUUUUUUGCUUGGGUGUAGUCAAGGACCUGACUUCACCUGAGUGGAUGUCGCUAGGAUCCGAGGGAACUGAAACUGCUCACAUCCCUGCUGGGCUGUGGACGCUGGCACAUCAGCAGACUCAUAGUCAGCCAGUUCUAAGAACUCAUUGCGGUACAGGAUGCAGGCCACAGGGUCCAGCUGCCCAGAAGGGUCGGUUCUGGCAGGAAGUUUUCCUCUUCACAGGAAGGAGGAACUCUGUGGCUUUCUAGCUUGUUACCUCGGCUUUGUCUUAUUGACUGGUGCACCAUCGAUCUCUCUCGUAGUCUCCCCGCAGCUGACCGUGGUCUGCUCUCCUUCCCC
rnacentral:lncRNA from 1 species